rnacentral:misc_RNA from 1 species
UUUCCGUAGGUGAACCUGCGGAAGGAUCAUUAUUGAAUGAAACACUUCUGGCUUUAUGCUGUUGUGCUGGCCCUUUGGGCAAUGUGCACACGGCUCUGGUCACUUGUUUCUUCUGUUCCACCUGUGCACUGCCUGUAGACACGCUGUGUCUAUGAUAUUUGUUAACACACAACAAUGUUAGUUGGCAUGUUAUAUAUAAUAACAAAAUAUACAACUUUCAACAACGGAUCUCUUGGCUCUC